GUUGAUGUAGUUUAAUACGUUAAAACAAGGCAUUGAAAAUGUCUAGAUGAGUUCUCAUAGCUCCAUAAACA
rfam:Nomascus leucogenys chromosome 11, whole genome shotgun sequence.